ACUCCUACGGGAGGCAGCAGUGGGAAUAUUGGACAAUGGGGGAAACCCGUAGCAUCCAGCAAUGCCGCGUGUGUGAAGAAGGCCUGCGGGUUGUAAAGCACUUUCAGUGGUGAGGAGGUUACUUUGAUUAAGAGUUAAAGUAAUGGACGUUAACCACAGAAGAAGCACCGGCUAACUCUGUGCCAGCAGCCGCGGUAAUACAGAGGGUGCAAGCGUUAAUCGGAAUUACUGGGCGUAAAGCGCGCGUAGGUGGUUGAUUAAGUCAUAUGUGAAAUCCCC
rnacentral:rRNA from 1 species